AAGGGUGUCGGUCAGUGGUAGGCCUCCUGUCUCCAAAACAGGUAACGAAAGUUCGAUUCUUUCCACCCUUG
rfam:Microgenomates (Woesebacteria) bacterium GW2011_GWA2_33_28 TR38_C0002, whole genome shotgun sequence.